rnacentral:rRNA from 1 species
UGUAGAGGGGGGUAGAAUUCCAGGUGUAGCGGUGAAAUGUGUAGAGAUCUGGAGGAAUACCGGUGGCGAAGGCGGCCCCAUGGACAAAGACUGACGCUCAGGUGUGAAAGCGUGGGGAGCAAACAGGAUUAGAUACCGUGGUAGUCCACGCCGUAAACGAUGUCGACUUGGAGGUUGUGCCCUUGAGGCGUGGCUUCCGGAGAUAACGCGUUAAGUCGACCGCCUGGGGAGUACGGCCGCAAGGUUAAAACUCAAAUGAAUUGACGGGGGCCCGCACAAGCGGUGGAGCAUGUGGCUUAAUUCGAUGCAACGCGAAGAACCUUACCUGGUCUUGACAUCCACAGAACUUUCCAGAGAUGGAUUGGUGCCUUCGGGAACUGUGAGACAGGUGCUGCAUGGCUGUCGUCAGCUCGUGUUGUGAAAUGUUGGGUUAAGUCCCGCAACGAGCGCAACCUUUAUCCUUUGUUGCCAGCGGUCCGGCCGGGAACUCAAAGGAGACUGCCAGUGAUAAACUGGAGGAAGGUGGGGAUGACGUCAAGUCAUCAUGGCCCUUACGAC